GGACGGAUGGCCGAGUGGUCCAAGGCGUCAGCUUCAGGUGCUGAUCUCGCAAGAGGCGUGGGUUCGAACCCCACUUCGUUCA